CCUAAAAUAUUAUAACUUUAAUAUUUUUGUACAGGUCAAAAUAGCUCAAUAAUUAGGAUAGAGUUGAUGCAGUUGAAAAAAUUUUUAGUUCCAAGAAAUAGUCAGUGACGUCAUGUAACAACUGCAUAUGAAGGACUACAUACUGCAGUCUACAUCUACAAUACUUUAGAAAAAGUCUCACAUAAUGGAAGGUAAAAGUUAAGAAUUCGUGAGCUCCGUUUCACAAAAAUUUUAAUAUCAAUUAAAUUGUACAAUAUAUUAUGUUGCGU